rnacentral:misc_RNA from 1 species
UGUCGGUGUGUGUGCGUGUGCGUAGGUUGGUGGGCUGCAAGGCACGGGACAGCGUUUCUUGUCUGGAUUCACUGCGUCGUGCAGCAGGGCAGUUUAAUCGGGUUUUGCCUUUGUAGAUUCUCCUCCCUCCCUCCCCCCUCACCCACAUUAAGCCCGCCGGUCUCAGGCUCACCUUCAGGGGUGAAGGCUGAAUCGAGCACAUAACGACACGCACGCGUGCCUCUCAUCAACUUCUUUUUUUGUGCAUCAGUGCGCUCUUCUUACUUUUGUCGUCGCCAGUUUCACGGCCCGCUCCGACCGCACGCUCACCGGCGCUUCCUUUUUUCUCUCCGAUUCUGUGUGCAUGCUUUUGUGCUCCAACGCCUGCUGACCAUGACUGUGCGAAGUGGUCCCCCUCCUCCCUUGCUCCCUCCUCUUCCCAUCUUUACUUCGCGUGUGUCACGUCACUGUGCUGCUCGGUUACUCCCUUUUCCUGCCUCUCGUACUCUUUGUGCCGAUACGAAAGCAUGAGGCGUGCCUUCAUGUUGCUGUACGCGGUACUCGCAUCUUCUCAUCUAGUGUUGGCACGGCGGCUGUCCUUUGCUCGCGCUUGUGUGUGUGUGUGUGUGGCCCAAGUAUGUCUCACGCCCCUGUUUGUCUGUCUGCGGUCUUGUGUCUGCCUCCUGGGUGGCGGGCCUCAUUUUUCGCUGUCCUACACAUGCACUGAUGUAUUUCGUUCUUUUUUUUCGUUCGCUUUCUUUCUCCACCUCGACAG